rnacentral:tRNA from 2 species
GCCCGUGUAGCUCAGUGGUAGAGCACACCCUUGGUAAGGGUGAGGUCAAGAGUUCAAUCCUCUUCACGGGCU